GACGAACGCUGGCGGCGUGCUUAACACAUGCAAGUCGAACGGUAAGGCCUUUCGGGGUACACGAGUGGCGAACGGGUGCGUAACACGUGGGUGAUCUGCCCUGCACUUCGGGAUAAGCCCGGGAAACUGGGUCUAAUACCGGAUAGGACUGCGCGGUGCAUGCCGUGUGGUGGAAAGAUUUAUCGGUGCAGGAUGGGCCCGCGGCCUAUCAGCUUGUUGGUGGGGUAAUGGCCUACCAAGGCGACGACGGGUAGCCGGCCUGAGAGGGCGACCGGCCACACUGGGACUGAGACACGGCCCAGACUCCUACGGGAGGCAGCAGUGGGGAAUAUUGCACAAUGGGCGCAAGCCUGAUGCAGCGACGCCGCGUGAGGGAUGACGGCCUGCGGGUUGUAAACCUCUUUCAGCAGGGACGAAGCGUGAAUGACGGUACCUGCAGAAGAAGCACCGGCCAACUACGUG
rnacentral:rRNA from 1 species